rnacentral:rRNA from 1 species
CCUACGGGGGGCUGCAGUGGGGAAUAUUGGACAAUGGGCGAAAGCCUGAUCCAGCCAUGCCGCGUGUGUGAAGAAGGCCUUCGGGUUGUAAAGCACUUUCAGUGGGGAAGAAAGCCUUGGGGCUAAUACCCUCGAGGAAGGACAUCACCCACAGAAGAAGCACCGGCUAACUCCGUACCAGCAGCCGCGGUAAUACGGAGGGUGCGAGCGUUAAUCGGAAUUACUGGGCGUAAAGCGCGCGUAGGCGGUCUGAUAAGCCGGUUGUGAAAGCCCCGGGCUCAACCUGGGAACGGCAUCCGGAACUGUCAGGCUAGAGUGCAGGAGAGGAAGGUAGAAUUCCCGGUGUAGCGGUGAAAUGCGUAGAGAGCGGGAGGAAUACCAGUGGCGAAGGCGGCCUUCUGGACUGACACUGACGCUGAGGUGCGAAAGCGUGGGUAGCAAACAGGAUUAGAUACCCGGGUAGUC